GAUGAACGCUGACAGAAUGCUUAACACAUGCAAGUCGAUGGGGAAGUGGUGCUUGCACCAUGGCAACCAUGGCGGACGGGUGAGUAACACGUAAGGGACUUACCUGCAGGACUGGGAUAACAGGGGGAAACUCCUGACAAGACCGGAUAAUGUCAUGGAGCUGCAUGGCUUUAUGAUGAAAGGAGACGCCUGCGGAGAGCCUUGCGUCCUAUUAGCUAGUUGGUGAGGUAAUGGCUCACCAAGGCGAAGAUAGGUAGCCGGCCUGAGAGGGUGGACGGCCACAAGGGGACUGAGAUACGGCCCUUACUCCUACGGGAGGCAGCAGUGGGGAAUAUUGGACAAUGGGGGCAACCCUGAUCCAGCAAUUCUGUGUGCACGAAGAAGGUUUUCGGAUUGUAAAGUGCUUUCAGCAGGGAAGAAGUAAGUGACGGUACCUGCAGAAGAAGCGACGGCUAAAUACGUG
rnacentral:rRNA from 1 species